UUCCUGCCCGCUUGCUCGGCCGCCAGCCCCAUCCAAUGCUUAAACUUCGCCAUGUGGAUUCCUGGUUGCUUGCUGUCUGACGGAUACACGUCAGGCUGGGCAUCUAAACGCGUAUGCUUCCAACCACUCAUUAAUCGGUCCUGAACUCCAAAAUCACACAAAGUCUGUUGUAAGUGUGCGGGGGAGAGGUAGGAAAAAGGGUUGCUCUUAUAGUUCUGUUUGCAACACCAGUACUGGUGAACGUGUCAUUUUCAUACAGCCAGAUGUCGACAGCACCCGGCAUGGUCAUCCAUCCGCAGCAUGAACCGCUGUCCAACUUAAUCCUACUUGCUGAGCACUCUCUCCCGCUCUGCCUGCCGUUCCCCUUUGCUUGUGCAUAUCUUGGACUGUCUCCCUUGAGGCUUAUGGCUGCGGGUGGCCUGGCCGGAGACGACUGCAUCAACCCCGCACAAGGAUCUAAUAUCAGUGAGUAGGAGCUGCUGGACUCCAAUGCGAUCUACG
rnacentral:lncRNA from 1 species